CAAAAGUUCUUUUGGGUUUUCCCAUAACAUCUUAUGGAAGGGACCUGAAUGAACUUUUUG
ensembl:miRNA